GACGAACGCUGGCGGCGUGCUUAACACAUGCAAGUCGAACGGUGAAGCGCCUUCCUUUUUGGUGGGUGUGGAUGAGUGGCGAACGGGUGAGUAACACGUGAGUAACCUGCCCCCUUCUUCUGGAUAACCGCAUGAAAGUGUGGCUAAUACGGGAUAUUCUGGGUCUGUCGCAUGAUGGGUCUGGGAAAGAUAUUGUUUCGGUGGGUGAUGGGCUCGCGGCCUAUCAGCUUGUUGGUGGGGUGAUGGCCUACCAAGGCGGUGACGGGUAGCCGGCCUGAGAGGGUGGACGGUCACACUGGGACGGAGACACGGCCCAGACUCCUACGGGAGGCAGCAGUGGGGAAUAUUGCACAAUGGGCGCAAGCCUGAUGCAGCGACGCCGCGUGAGGGAUGGAGGCCUUCGGGUUGUGAACCUCUUUCGCCAGUGAAGCAGGCCUGCCUCGUUUGUGGGUGGGUUGACGGUAGCUGGAUAAGAAGCGCCGGCUAACUACGUG
rnacentral:rRNA from 1 species